rnacentral:rRNA from 1 species
GAUGAACGCUAGCGGCAGGCUUAACACAUGCAAGUCGAGGGGUAUUGGUUUUCGGACCAAGAGACCGGCGCACGGGUGCGUAACGCGUAUGCAAUCUACCUUUUGCAGAGGGAUAGCCCAGAGAAAUUUGGAUUAAUACCUCAUAGUAUAGUACUUUGGCAUCAAGGAACUAUUAAAGUCACAACGGCAAAAGAUGAGCAUGCGUCCCAUUAGCUAGUUGGUAAGGUAACGGCUUACCAAGGCUACGAUGGGUAGGGGUCCUGAGAGGGAGAUCCCCCCACACUGGUACUGAGACACGGACCAGACUCCUACGGGAGGCAGCAGUGAGGAAUAUUGGUCAAUGGGCGCAAGCCUGAACCAGCCAUGCCGCGUGCAGGAAGACGGUCCUAUGGAUUGUAAACUGCUUUUAUACAGGAAGAAACCCUCCCACGUGUGGGAGCUUGACGGUACUGUAGGAAUAAGGAUCGGCUAACUCCGUGCCAGCAGCCGCGGUAAUGUAAG